AGUAGUCUACUUCCGAACUUCAUAAAAACGAUGAAGAUAUAAAUACUAAUCUGAAACAGAGGCUUCGGUCGAAGGUGUAUACUAUACAUUAACAUAAUUGGAUGGUUAAAACGUUUGCAAUUUAUACAAAAUGUAUUAAGUUGUUUAUGCAUUUUGAAAGCAUGUGAGGUUUUCAUCUAGAACAACGGCAGUUCGACCAAGUGCAUGGUGGCUGCAACAUGGGAAGACAAACUGGUGGUUGCAGCCAUUGACUUUGGGACUGCCUUUACUGGAUGUGCCAUAUCAUAUCAAGCUGAUUACAACACAUCAAAGGAAAAAAAAUAAUCACAUUAAACUGGACGUCUGGAAAUGCCCAAAGCAACCAGAAAACGCCGACCGUCCUUCUACUGAAGCCCGACGGGGGUUUCGAAGCUUUUGGAUACGAGGCAGAGAACAGGUUUUCGGAACUUGCAGACGAUGAAGAUGUCAAAGAGAAUGAAUGGCAUUAUUUCGAACAUUUCAAGAUGACUCUGCAUAAUGAAAGCGUUAGGAAUGAAGACCUUGCUUUGAGGGUGUUUUGCAGACCAGUGGUUGUUGGCCUGGUGGAUUUUCAAGAUAAACUGUAGACUGCCCCCUUAAUUCCGUAAAGCAAAACUAAUUCAAAAUCAUGGGGGAUUUACACAUGACAAAUGCAAUUCCUAAUGGCAAUAGGUAAGUUUUCAAUCCUUAUUGUCUUUCUGAGUUGUAUUAAAAACAGCGGUAGUGGAUCCAGUGUGGCUGGAAAGUUACUCAGGUAAAUUUUGCAUAAUUUCGCGACCUGUCAAAUUGUGUUCCUGCAUCAUGUAUUGUCUUGAAAGCAUCUUUUGUCAUAUACUAAGUUAAAAUGCUAUCUUGUGAUUUAAGGAACCUCAAUUCCCAGUGAGAGAAUCUACUCCACAGCAGGAGACCUCGUCAGUGCUCAUAGGGCUUGCCUGGACCAGGAAAAUGUUGAUAUGUUAUUUUUUUGUAAAAACAAACAUCAAACUGCAUGAACUGUGUAAAAGUGUAUGUUAACGAGCAAACUAUUAAGUGAAUAAGUGUUGAGGUUUCGUUUUAUUCUGACAUUGCUUCAAUGUUAAACGUAUUAAAAAAAAAUUUGUUAAUAAAUGUUUAAUGUUUUUUAGUCAAAUUAUACGUCUAAAACAUUGAUUUUUUUAAUUUGGACAGAAUUUCUUAUUUUCUGUUAGUCUUAUGUGAGGGAUCCGGAUCCGAAAAAAAUCCGAAGAAACCUUAUUUGGAUUCGGAUUCGGAUCCGAACAAAAUUUUUAGUUUCGUUGCAGCCCUAAAAAAUACCUCCGUAUUUGACGUGAGUGUGGAUGAUCGAGUGGUAAAUUCGGGAGAAAUUUUACUCCAAUCUUCCAUGACACUAGGGGUCAGUGGUUCGAGCCCUGUGGAGCGUAAUGCAGCUUGGAUGACUCAAUGGAGGAUAAAUGCGACUCACCUACAGCACAGUGAAGACUGUUCGAGAUGUGAUAUACAAAAGUAUUGGAAAAAGACAAAGUCAUUGCUUGGACAAUUUUCGCAAAAAAGGUCAUUGAUAUGACAAUUAUUUAUAAAUGAAGGAUUUGUAUGACAAAUGUGAAUUGUAGGUAAAACAGAUUGGAAUGCCAACGCCAUUGGUGCAGAUUACUGGUAUGUUACAUAAACUCACUUUAGUGAGUUGUGCGUGAUUCCUUUACAGACUCAUUUACAGCGGCAUCAAUAUAAUCGUUCUAACUCGGAAGAAAAUGCAAUUCUAAUAUAUUGCAUAUUGACAUGGCUGGCUGUGUUCGAUAUCACAACAAUGAUAUCUUAUAUCCCAUUCGCAUUACAUUUAUAUUGCCAACAUCCUGUGACGAAAAUAUCUCCAAGCACAAAUAGCUGGGGUUGGAUGCAUUUCCUACUAGUUUUUUUAAACGUUUCCGCCAUAAGUCACACUAUAUCGAUAUGGCUUGCCGUUGCCUUGGCGAUAUUUCGCCAUCACCAUAUUAUUCGCCUUCCAAAGUAAACCUUACACGAAAUCGGUGAUUAAUCCGUGCCAGGCUAGUGGUCUACAUAAUUGUGAUAUCAUCCGUUGUGGCCAUGAUACCUAAUUAUCUGACCAAUUCUCUUACCAAGACUCCAGGAGGUGCGUAUAUAUUCAAACCUUUGAACCUUGUUUCUGGAAAUGAGAAACCGAUUAUCCUGGUCGGUUUGAUUUUUUACAGUUGCCUUGCGAAGAUUCUCCCGAGUUGUCUAAUUAUCGUGUACGGAUCGCUUCUUCUGAUUACACUUAGUGCAUCGCGAUUUGCUCAUUCAAGGACGUCCAGUGAUUGCACCGUGUCUGGCCAGCAGUCCACUAAGACGAUUCGAACGUCCCGUACAACGAUUAUGCUCCUCAUUUUAAUUGUCUUGUUUUUUAAUUUCGGAGUUACCGCAAGGUGUGUUAAUACGUAUGUCUAUAUUUAAGUAGAACUUUUUUGAACACAUUUACAUACAUUUAGGUGAUACAAUGGACAUAAUUGCCUUGGUAAAUAGAGGUGUAAACUUUGCUCUUUACUGUACAAUGAGCCAGGAGUUUCGAAGGACGUUUAUCCGCUUAUUUUAUUAAACGAAUCUCAACAAAGGAGCAAACAGGUCCUAUAUAUCAGCUCUUAUACCAAACCAUCAUUUGCAUCCUCGUGCACAACACAUAACACAGAAAUAAACACAUAUGAACUAGUUUUGUUUAUUUGAAUAUCCAUUAUGCAACCAUGCGUUUUAUUGCCAACAGUUAUAGUGUCUAAAUAGAUCAUUGUUGUGUUAUUAAAUGUCAUCCAAGAUGUUUCUUGAUGAUAUACUUAUUGAUUGUGAAACAUUUCUUUAUACAACACGAUGUUUAUAACGAUUAUAUAACGUGUACUUAAAAUCAAACCUUAUUUAUAUGUAUUCUGAUAAAACUACUUAUGCAUGCGUCAAAUGGAUGUACAAAAUUUGUUUGAGUACUUACAUCUGAAUAUUGCGAACGAUGAUACAUUUAAUAAUCUGUACAAAUGGGUCGUUUUUAGAAUAGCAUUACCUUAUGCAAAAUAGUUGUAUACGUAGGAAGAGUUCUUCAAGGAUAUACCUUAAACAAUUACACAUCGUGUUUUAAAUUUAUCUAUAAACACUAUUAAAUAUAUUUAGAGGGAAACCAUACGUAUAUUAUGUGUAUUACAUCAAAUAAAUAGACUAUAUACUACUCCAUUUACUGUCCAUCUGUGUGGCUAUCCUGUUCCUUGAUAUGCAUAGAUAACUGUAAUUCUACCUGAAACAUAACGUGAUAUCACAUUUGUGUUUCCGUAUGUAAACAUCUUGAAUAUCAUUGGACAUUUGAAAAACGUAAAACAUUCAAACAUUUAUGAGCAAGAAAGUAUAUAACUAUAAGUAAUUGAAUCUCCAUCAUUUUUUACAUUGUGUUCUGUUUAAAUUUGAAUCAUUAGUAUGUAAUCUAAUGUUGUACUGCUUGUUUCGCUUAAACAAAAUUAGCUACUUUUUAAGAUAUUUUAGACUUCCCAAAAAAAUUAUAUAUAUUAAAUAUAUAAAUUAAUACAUCAAAGCAGAAUCAUAUUAAAACCCUUACGCAAGAAACUAUGUCAACGGAUCUUAAGGCUUUAAAAUACGACUGGUAGAAGCUUUAAACAUACCAUUCUAAGUUAACCACAAUCAGUCAUGUUUUAACACGUUGCAUUUUAAUGAUCCGUGUGAGUAAAUUGAAGCAUAUAAAACAUGUGUUAUUAUUUUAUUUGUAAAAUCAAUAUUUAUUACCUAUCAUGCACGCUUUCAGAUUAAAACAAGCAUGCAUGUUAACAAUUGUAUUUUAAACAUUACCAAAAUACAGAAUUCAUGAAAAAAUCAGGUGUGGCCGUUUAUUGUAUACCAAUGCAUGUAACGUGCUGGUUAAGGAUGUUUUCUGAGAUUUCUUCUCUACCCCCGUCAAUCGCAACGUUUUUUCAUAUCCAAAGCGAGAGUUUUCAUUAACAAAGUAUUAACAAGUAUAUAUGUAAAUAACUAUUAUUUAUUUAAAAGCGUACUCUUGAUAGCUCCCCUAAACCACACUGAAUGCAUAUGAUUCCUAAAUAUAGCAUAUUGUCUUGUUAAUACAUAGCACAUAUAUUGAAUUGGUCUAUGAUAACCAAGU